rnacentral:rRNA from 1 species
GUGGGGAAUAUUGGACAAUGGGCGAAAGCCUGAUCCAGCCAUGCCGCGUGUGUGAAGAAGGUCUUCGGAUUGUAAAGCACUUUAAGUUGGGAGGAAGGGCAGUAAGUUAAUACCUUGCUGUUUUGACGUUACCGACAGAAUAAGCACCGGCUAACUUCGUGCCAGCAGCCGCGGUAAUACGAAGGGUGCAAGCGUUAAUCGGAAUUACUGGGCGUAAAGCGCGCGUAGGUGGUUUUGUAAGUUGGAGGUGAAAUCCCCGGGCUCAACCUGGGAACUGCCUCAAAAACUGCAUGACUAGAGUACGGUAGAGGAUAGUGGAAUUUCCUGUGUAGCGGUGAAAUGCGUAGAUAUAGGAAGGAACACCAGUGGCGAAGGCGACUACCUGGACUGAUACUGACACUGAGGUGCGAAAGCGUGGGGAGCAAACAGGAUUAGAUACCCCGGUAGUCC